rnacentral:rRNA from 1 species
CCUACGGGAGGCAGCAGUGAGGAAUAUUGGUCAAUGGACGAGAGUCUGAACCAGCCAAGUAGCGUGAAGGAUGACUGCCCUAUGGGUUGUAAACUUCUUUUAUAAAAGAAUAAAACGAGGCACGUGUGCCUUUUUGCAUGUACUUUAUGAAUAAGGAUCGGCUAACUCCGUGCCAGCAGCCGCGGUAAUACGGAGGAUCCGAGCGUUAUCCGGAUUUAUUGGGUUUAAAGGGAGCGUAGAUGGGUUGUUAAGUCAGUUGUGAAAGUUUGCGGCUCAACCGUAAAAUUGCAAUUGAUACUGGCAGUCGUGAGUACAGUUGAGGUAGGCGGAAUUCGUGGUGUAGCGGUGAAAUGCUUAGAUAUCACGAAGAACCCCGAUUGCGAAGGCAGCUUACUAAACUGUGACUGACAUUGAUGCUCGAAAGUGUGGGUAUCAAACAGGAUUAGAUACCCUUGUAGUC